rnacentral:misc_RNA from 1 species
AAAUCAGCAUUCUAUUCACUUUCCAGGGUCUUUAAGGAAUCCAGCAUUACUGAAUAUAGUGUCAAGGAAAAUGUAAUGGCACCUGGAAAGCAAGAGAUAUUAAUUGACAACAAACAGCAUUAUAUAUUCUUGGGAAGAAGCAUAAAUAUGGUAUCACUCAUCAAGCUGUAUGUUGAGGAUGGGAAAGUCAUUCGCCAUGAAGAUUGGUGGAACAAGAAGCCCAUUGGCAAUCGACACACAAGUAUGUUCCCAGUGGUUGGCCGUUUUAAAGAAAUUAUUCGCAGGGGAUUGAUGCUUGCAACACAUGCUAUGAUGGGAUUUGGGAAGGAUCCAAACGUAAAAUAGAAAGAUCUAUUAUGCGUGUUUUUUCUUACUUUGUUCAGGUGAUUUUCGUGUAUUUAUAUUAUUGUAUGUUUCUUGUUCGUUGAUGUUCCAAGCUGUGCAGGCUUUCAGAUGAAUUAAGGUUUCAAACUAUUCUUCUGCUCGAUAUUAGAAAUGAUUAGCAUUUGGGGGUUGCAUUAUGAUCACUAUAAGUUGAUUGAACACAUAUAUCAUAAUAGA